GACGUCUGGGAAGGUGAGACUACAUUUCCCAGAAGCCUCUGCGCCCCGCCCUUACGAAACAAGGAGCAUGCGUCGUGUGUCUCCUUGGCAGCGAGCCGGCUGCCUGGAGACCACACAGGAUGCGUUCUAACGGGUCGCUACCACACGGCCGCCAUGUGGAAUUCGAUUCUUCAUCCGUUCCCAGUUUGAAAAUGUCACGUUUUGAAAGAACAGUGCCACGAAUGGAGAAGUUUUAGUGUGGCUGCAUUUGACAGCAAAUGCACAUCCCAUUGUCCCGCAGGUUCCUUAAAUGGGUGACUUAAAGCAGGGGUUGAGAAACACAUCUGACAAAAACUGGGGAACUGCUGGCUAUCAGAGAAGGCUGCCAUCAUCAGGUGAGGAGGGAGAGCAGGCGCCGGGUCAGCAGGGCUCCACCCCCGAGACCUGAUCUGCAGGCCUCACCUUCCAGUGUCCUCCCCGUGGGGGUUAGGAGCGCCACGUAAACCAACCCACAGCCAUGGAGAAGAGGCAGCCAGGAUGGUAAAUGGUCCAGAUAAUGCAUUAAGGACAUACAAACACCCCGGACCUCAGCCGCUUUCUACCAGCCCCUCGGAUCGUACUGCUUGGAGCUUCCUUUCUUCUUAAGUAAGACUUCUCUUCUCUCACCGUUGUGUACAGUCUUGUAAAUCAUCAUCGAC